rfam:TPA: Bos taurus chromosome 7, whole genome shotgun sequence.
UCCCUGGUGGCUCAGAUGGUAAAGCGUCUGCCUGCAAUGCAGGAGACCUGGGUUCGAUCCCUGGGUUGGGAA